rnacentral:rRNA from 1 species
UCACACCAUGGGAGUGGGUUGCAAAAGAAGUAGGUAGCUUAACCUUCGGGAGGGCGCUUACCACUUUGUGAUUCAUGACUGGGGUGAAGUCGUAACAAGGUAACCGUAGGGGAACCUGCGGUUGGAUCACCUCCUUACCUAAGAGA